AUUGAACGCUGGCGGCAGGCUUAACACAUGCAAGUCGAGCGAGCGGCGGACGGGUGAGUAAUGUCUGGGAAACUGCCUUAUGGCGGGGGAUAACUACUGGAAACGGUAGCUAAUACCGCUUACCAUCAGCUGUGCCCUGAUGGGAUUAGCUAGUAGGUGGGGUAAUGGCUCACCUAGGCGACGAUCCCUAGCUGGUCUGAGAGGAUGACCAGCCACACUGGAACUGAGACACGGUCCAGACUCCUACGGGAGGCAGCAGUGGGGAAUAUUGCACAAUGGGCGCAAGCCUGAUGCAGCCAUGCCGCGUGAGUGAAGAAGGCCUUCGGGUUGUAAAGCACUUUCAGCGGGGAGGCGGUACUCGCAGAAGAAGCACCGGCUAACUCCGUGCCAGCAGCCGCGGUAAUAC
rnacentral:rRNA from 1 species